CAGCCCUGUUGACUCUCAUAAACUGUUCAACAUCUUAUUAUCUGUUUAUGCUACAAUAACUACAAUAUUAAGUAUAAUAUCACAUAUUUAUUGGUUUCUGUUGGGAAGUAAUAUGUGAAGCUGAUGUUUGCACAGGUGUUGGUCAAGUUCUCUGUGUGAUGAGGGUCCAACACAGCGAUGAUGAUGAUGAUGAUGAAGGCGGUCAUAGUUUCAGCAGUGAUGACAUCACUAGAGACACGAGCUCUCCUGAUUGGUCGGUUCAGUGUCCCUCAGCAGAAUCUGCAGAGAUGCUGAGACUCAGCUCUUCAUCAGGAUGCUCCAUGUCUCCGUCUCCUCCACCCAGAGCAGCAGCAGCUCCCCCUGCGGGCCGGAGGAUCACACAGAUCCACAGCCAGAGACUCAGAGCUCAUCCAUGCAGAGACUCCCAGACCGAAACACCUGCCUGAAGUGAUGCAUUGUGGGUCAGAUUAGAUCAUAGAUCUCACUGCAGGUCUGCACACUUCCAGAAGCAGUCUAAAGUUGUUACUGACACUGAAUCACUAGGGGGCGCCGUCUGCAUUAUGAGACCUGCUGCUUGUCUCUGCUUUAUUUCAGAAGUAUUCCAGCUUUGAUUGACAGGUGUUGGUGCACAGAUGUCAUGUGAUCACUGAUGCAGACUGGAUCUCCAGCAGCGCAGCUUCAUCUCUGGAGAUCGAGAACAGGUUCAGUGUUUGCAGACGCAGGUGCAGGACUGUUAUUCCACGCGUCUCUGAUGACAGUCGUUCUGACAAACACUGCAGCUCAUCACUCUUCAGAAUCUCAACAGGCUCCCAGUCUUUUGACCAUUUGGACAGAAUUUUGUAAGAUGUUUUUGUGCACAUCCAAAUUUAUGUUGUUAAUAUUUGGAAAAUGGAGGAUGGAAAAUUGUUUAUAAAGAAAAAUAGCAAAUGGAAAAACUUAAUAUCUGGAAUAUUAUAAAAAAGAACAAAUGUACACUACCAUUUAAAAGUUUGUGGCCAGCAAGAUAAAAAAAAAAAAAAAAAAGAAAGAAAUUAUUCGGCAAGAAUGCAUUGAAUUGCAUUAAAUGUUGGGCUUAGUAAGAAUACGAUAGUUCUUUAAAAUAAUGAAAUAAAAUAAAAAUUAAUAGAAUGUAAUUUUAAAAA
ensembl:lncRNA